CCCACAACACGAUAAACAUCCUAAGAAGCUGGCGGGUCUCCGGGUUUUCCCACUGGUGUGAUUUCACCACACUGCUUGAUGCAGAAUGCCUAUAGGCUGGCUAAAAUUUGUUGCUACUGCUUCCAUUAUCAAUACUCUCAGAGCUGGCACCGCGUUCGGGGAUGUUGACUUAACCAAUUUCCAGCAGGGCUAAAGAUAACCUCUCCCUCUAAGCCUCUAUGAUUUUUUUUUUUUUUUUUGCAACGUCAUCGAGCGAGGCGAGGUUAACCCACCACAUCGGACACAGAUCAAAGUCAGUGCCGAGUCCCGGCUUCACGCGUGCAGCGCACAGGGCCGGAGGGGCUUGCAGCACGGCCGGGUCCGCGGCUCAGCCCACGGAAGCCCGCGGGACUGGGGACGCGGUGAAGCCUGCAGGACGCGGGCUCUGCCUGGCAACUGGAGUUCUCCAGCGUAAAACCCACGAGAAGGUGAAACAACCCUGUCAAAAUGGUGGAGAGUCCCCCAAGGAGGUUCUUCUGCUUCCGUGGUCCUGUAUGUUCAGUCUCCAGAACACACCCUCAAGCCCCCUUCCAUGCCCACCCGAAAACGAACUGAUUUGACAAGUCCAGCCUGCUAAGGGAGUAAGUGAGAAGGUUGAGUUCACAUCUGGAGUCCACACAUAUUCCAACCGAGUGCGGAGGGAAUUGUUCAGCAAGUGAUACGGGUGCUUCCAUGGACCUGCUCCACACGGUCCAUUUCUAAUGUUUUGCCUUAGCCCAGGCCCGCCCAGUGUCAUGGGCCCAACCAGCAAAGAAUCAACCCAACAGUGAGCUGAAAUAAACCCCUUUUCUCAGUAACUCUUUAUCUCAAGUAUUUGCUACAGUAAUGGAGAGCCCAUGAAUUCAGAUGGCGAUUCACCCUCUGCCCUCAAAUUCCCUCCCAGAAGGCCCUGACUGGGGCUGUAUCUGCUCCUCUGCACUUCUUUUAUGAAUCACAGAUGGAGUUGCCUUUGUGCACACAUUUCAUUUAUCUGUCAGGAAAUGUUUCCUGAGGCUCUUGCCCUGCGGAGUAUACAUACAGUGGUUGACUCUAGGACAGAGUGGAGGGCAAGACAAACAAGGCUGCUGCCUCACACAGCUUCUGACCUUUGCCAACAGGCACCACCUCCCCGACCCCCACUUGGGAAAGAUGCCCCCCCUCACUACCAUGGGCAAAGGAGCACCGCCCCUGAUGGAAUGGUCGAGGGGAGCUGGCUCUGCCCCUUGCCGGAGGCGGACGGCACCAGGGGCAUGGCCCACAGCCCGACCUCUGUCCCAUCAAGGACCUGCUGGAGCUGGUGAAGGGACUGGAGGCAGCCAAGGGAUGGGUGCCCGGGAGGAGUUCUGGUGAGGAUCCAGUGAUGAGGGCGUACAGAAACCAGAGGCUUUCAACCAGCCCAGUGACUCGUAGCAAUGACCCUCCUUCUCAAGUAAAGCACCAGGAUGAGUGAAGAGGGGAGACAGGGAGAGAUGGAGGUGUGAAGGGGUUGUUGUUUUUUUUUUUUUUGCUUGGGUUUGAUUUUUUUUCCCCCUUUGGGUGGUGUUGCAGCGGGGAGGGGAGGAUAUGGAGAGGCUGGGAAGUGAGCAGAACUGGGGUGCAUGAUGUGAAAUCCCAAAAAUUCAAUAAAGAAAUUA